rnacentral:rRNA from 1 species
UACGGAGGGUGCAAGCGUUGUCCGGAUUUAUUGGGUUUAAAGGGUGCGUAGGCGGCUUUUUAAGUCAGUGGUGAAAUCCUCCAGCUUAACUGGAGUCGUGCCAUUGAUACUGGAAAGCUUGAGUACAGGCGAGGUUGGCGGAAUUGAAGGUGUAGCGGUGAAAUGCAUAGAUAUCUUCAAGAACACCGAUUGCGAAGGCAGCUAACUAGACUGUAACUGACGCUGAGGCACGAAAGUGUGGGGAUCGAACAGGAUUAGAUACCCUGGUAGUCCACACUGUAAACGAUGAUCACUCGAUGUUGGCGAUAGACAGCCAGCGUCCAAGCAAAAGCGUUAAGUGAUCCACCUGGGGAGUACGCUCGCAAGGGUGAA